rnacentral:rRNA from 1 species
UACGAAGGGGCUAGCGUUGUUCGGAAUUACUGGGCGUAAAGCGCACGUAGGCGGGCGAUUAAGUCAGGGUGAAAUCCCGGAGCUCAACUCCGGAACUGCCUUUGAUACUGGUCGUCUAGAGAUCGGAAGAGGUGAGUGGAAUUCCCAGUGUAGAGGUGAAAUUCGUAGAUAUUGGAAGAACACCAGUGGCGAAGGCGGCUCACUGGUCCGAUACUGACGCUGAGGUGCGAAAGCGUGGGAGCAAACAGG